AGAGUUUGAUCCUGGCUCAGGAUUAACGCUGGCGGCAUGCCUAAUACAUGCAAGUCGAACGAGAGUAGCAAUACUCUAGUGGCGAACGGGUGAGUAACACGUAGGAAACCUGCCUCAAAGUCGAGGAUAACUACUGGAAACGGUAGCUAAAACUGGAUAGGAUAUAUUAAGGCAUCUUGAUAUAUUUAAAAGUCCUUCUGGGAAUGCUUUGAGAUGGUCCUGCGGCGCAUUAGCUAGUUGGUGAGGUAGUAGCUUACCAAGGCGACGAUGCGUAGCUGAGCUGAGAGGCCAAACAGCCACACUGGGACUGAGACACGGCCCAGACUCCUACGGGAGGCAGCAGUAGGGAAUUUUCGGCAAUGGGGGAAACCCUGACCGAGCAAUGCCGCGUGAAUGAUGAAAUUCUUCGGAAUGUAAAAUUCUGUUGUGAGGGAAGAAAGGUAGUAUCAGGAAAUGGGUAUUACUUGACGGUACCUUACUAGAAAGCCCCGGCUAACUAUGUGCCAGCAGCCGCGGUAAUACAUAGGGGGCGAGCGUUAUCCGGAAUUAUUGGGCGUAAAGCGUGCGUAGGUGGCCGUUUAAGUCUGUCGUGAAAGCCCACAGCUUAACUGUGGAGGGUCGAUGGAAACUGGAUGGCUUGAAUCUAGAAGAGGUAAGUGGAAUUCCAUGUGUAGCGGUAAAAUGCUUAGAUAUAUGGAGGAACACCAGUGGCGAAGGCGGCUUACUGGUCUAGCAUUGACGCUGAGGCACGAAAGCGUAGGUAGCAAACAGGAUUAGAUACCCUGGUAGUCUACGCUGUAAACGAUGAGCACUAAGUGUCGGACGUAAGUUCGGUGCUGU
rnacentral:rRNA from 1 species